GAUGAACGCUGGCGGCGUGCCUAAUACAUGCAAGUCGAGCGAACAGACGAGGAGCUUGCUCCUCUGACGUUAGCGGCGGACGGGUGAGUAACACGUGGAUAACCUACCUAUAAGACUGGGAUAACUUCGGGAAACCGGAGCUAAUACCGGAUAAUAUAUUGAACCGCAGGGUUCAAUAGUGAAAGACGGUUUUGCUGUCACUUAUAGAUGGAUCCGCGCCGCAUUAGCUAGUUGGUAAGGUAACGGCUUACCAAGGCAACGAUGCGUAGGCGAACUGAGAGGGUGAUCGGCCACACUGGAACUGAGACACGGUCCAGACUCCUACGGGAGGCAGCAGUAGGGAAUCUUCCGCAAUGGGCGAAAGCCUGACGGAGCAACGCCGCGUGAGUGAUGACGGUCUUCGGAUCGUAAAACUCUGUUAUUAGGGAAGAACAAAUGUGUCAGUAACUAUGCACGUCUUGACGGUACCUAAUCAGAAAGCCACGGCUAACUACGUG
rnacentral:rRNA from 1 species